CGGGACGGGGUGAGUAAUGUCUGGGAAACUGCCUGAUGGAGGGGGAUAACUACUGGAAACGGUAGCUAUACCGCAUAACGUCGCAAGACCAAAGAGGGGGACCUUCGGGCCUCUUGCCAUCGGAUGUGCCCAGAUGGGAUUAGCUAGUAGGUGGGGUAACGGCUCACCUAGGCGACGAUCCCUAGCUGGUCUGAGAGGAUGACCAGCCACACUGGAACUGAGACACGGUCCAG
rnacentral:rRNA from 1 species